CAGAACUUUGUGCUUUGUGCAUGAAGGUGCCAUGCUAACUAGUUAAGAUGGCCGAGGGCUAGCUGAGCUGGCAUUAGGAGGCUGAGCUGAGGCCUUUUUCCCUAGGAGGCUGAGCGGAGGCUGAAGACCAGAGCCAAAGCCUGUGACAUGGAAGAUGAACCUCAAAAUCUGAACCUCAGGGCCAAACGUAAGCCAUGGCAAUCCUAGGGUCUGCAUCCACUUUCCACCAUGAAUUUAAUAACAUGAGUUAGAAAAACAACAUGGGACACCACAGUUUGUUCACAAUUUUAUCCAGAGGGGAAAAAUGUUAAAAAAUAAAUAAAAUC